UACAGAGGUCUCAAGCGUUGUUCGGAUUUACUGGGCGUAAAGGGUGCGUAGGUUGCUUGAUAAGUCUGAUGUGAAAUCUUCGAGCUCAACUCGGAAACUGCACUGGAAACUGUCGAGCUUGAGGGUUGGAGAGGGGAUUGGAAUUCUCGGUGUAGCAGUGAAAUGCGUAGAUAUCGAGAGGAACACCAGUGGCGAAGGCGAAUCCCUGGACAACUCCUGACACUGAGGCACGAAAGCUAGGGGAUCAAACAGG
rnacentral:rRNA from 1 species